UUCAAGUCCACUGCUCAAGAACGCAAAUACAGAGGACAUAAAAAUUCCCAGAUGUAUUAUUCUUGAUAUUGAGGAUGCAUUGGAUAGUGAGCUGUGCACAAGUUUGAAAAUCCCAGAAGUCUUUGGGGCACUAUGACACUGGGCAAUAGAAGCUGUCGAUCAAUGUUAGGAUUGAUUCAAAAGAUUUGAAAAAUUCAUAUUGUCAAAAUUAGUGUGAUAUUUAAUGUAUUUGAUGUGAUAUUUUAACGUCCAAACCCACAACAGCCUCAACAGACUCUAUUACACGGAUGCCAAAGGACUCCUCAGACCCCUACUCCUGAAGUUACUGUCACUCCACAAGAGCCUUCAAGAUCUGGGUUCCAAGAAACACCUUUCUGUGGAAAGACCUCUACAGCCACCUGUAGUCAGUGCCAGUAAUUUGGUGUAGGCCAAAACUAGCAAGUAUUUGGACGGUGACACUAUUUGGAUAAUUUUGGCGCUGUAUGCCACCACAAUGGAUUUGAAAUGAAACAACUGAGAUGCAAUUGAACUGCAGACUUUGUUGUGGAUAAAAAUGACAUGAAAUAAACACGAGGGAGACCUAGUAUGAGUAAUAUGUAAUUUUAUUGAAAAUUCACAGGACUGGUUGGAUUCACACUUUAAGAUCUUUAAGAGUAACACACUAUGGUUUAUUAGUCACAGAGAAAUAUAAGAGCUGAGGAGGGCAGGCUGAGAAACACACACACUCUCGUACAGUCAAGGGCGGGCGUGCAGACAUAACACACACAAAGGCCCCAACGCACACACACAUAACAACAUGAGACUAAGGUCUCUCUAAAAUUGUUUUCUCUCUCUCCCACUUUCAAUCCUAAUGGUAGUCAGAAAGUCCUCUUUCAAAACAUCAUGUUAAAUUUGAUAAACCUUUUUUUAAACAUCAUGGUAAUGUAGCUCUUUUUAAAGCUCUUUUUAACCCUAUUGGUAUUGAAAUCAUAGUCUUUUUAAAAUAUAUUGGUUAUCUACUGUGUAAAUACAGUAUAAAUACUGGAGCUUGAGCUCCAGGUGUCAGAUCACUUCUGAGAAUUCUCAUCAUUGUGGAUCUCGUGAGGUGGAAAUAAAAUCUGGACCCUUGCUUCUUCUCA